rnacentral:rRNA from 1 species
UGGCCAGACUCCUACGGGAGGCAGCAGUGGGGAAUAUUGCACAAUGGGCGAAAGCCUGAUGCAGCAACGCCGCGUGAAGGAAGAAGGGUUUCGGCUCGUAAACUUCUAUCAACAGGGACGAAAGAAAUGACGGUACCUGAAUAAGAAGCCCCGGCUAACUACGUGCCAGCAGCCGCGGUAAUACGUAGGGGGCAAGCGUUAUCCGGAUUUACUGGGUGUAAAGGGAGCGUAGACGGCGAUGCAAGCCAGAUGUGAAAGCCCGGGGCUCAACCCCGGGACUGCAUUUGGAACUGUGUGGCUGGGGUGUCGGAGAGGCAGGCGGAAUUCCUAGUGUAGCGGUGAAAUGCGUAGAUAUUAGGAGGAACACCAGUGGCGAAGGCGGCCUGCUGGACGAUGACUGACGUUGAGGCUCGAAAGCGUGGGGAGCAAACAGGAUUAGAUACCCGAGUACG